CUGUACCUCCAAACCUGGGUUGGCUUUGAGACUUGCUUUGGUUAGUAGAAUGCAGCAGAUGUGAUGCUAUGCAGUCCCAGGCCUACGCCUCAAAAGCUGUGCUUGCUUCUGCUCCUUCUCUUGACCUUUGCCUCUAUUAGCCCUGACUAGCCUGCUGAAGGGACAGAGACCACAGGCACAGAGCUGAGGUGUGCCAGCUGAGGCCAUCUGAAACAUGGGAGAGAGAGAUGGCUAUGGUCAAAGAAAUGCUCAGCCAGGCCUGACCAAGAUCAACAGAACCCACCAGCUAACUGUGAAUGUGAGAACAACCUAUAGGAAGAAAAUCUGAACCAGAAACAGUAUGGCAGAAUUGGGAUCUGACUCACAGAGGGAAGAACUUAUAAUUCUUCACAGGUCACAUAGAAGCAUGAGAAUUUGGGUUCAAGCAAGUAAAUUCUAAAUCAGAAUCCAUACAUAAAGUGUUUGCAAUGUCCAGUUAUAUCUCCAUGAUAUUUUCUUUGUGGAAGUUGAUUGUUCUUCCUUACAAUAAAUUGCUUGAAUUGU
ensembl:lncRNA LINC00844 long intergenic non-protein coding RNA 844